rnacentral:rRNA from 1 species
UAGUCCACGCUGUAAACGAUGGAUACUAGCUGUUCGCCUUUCGGGGUGAGUGGCUAAGCGAAAGUGAUAAGUAUCCCACCUGGGGAGUACGUUCGCAAGAAUGAAACUCAAAGGAAUUGACGGGGGCCCGCACAAGCGGUGGAGCAUGUGGUUUAAUUCGAUGAUACGCGAGGAACCUUACCAGGGCUUAAAUGUAUUCUGACAGGGGUGGAAACACCCUUUCCUUCGGGCAGAUUACAAGGUGCUGCAUGGUUGUCGUCAGCUCGUGCCGUGAGGUGUCAGGUUAAGUCCUAUAACGAGCGCAACCCCUGUUGUUAGUUGCCAGCGAGUAAUGUCGGGAACUCUAACAAGACUGCCGGUGCAAGCCGUGAGGAAGGUGGGGAUGACGUCAAAUCAUCACGGCCCUUACGUCCUGGGCUACACACGUGCUACAAUGGCCGGUACAGAGAGCAGCCACACCGUGAGGUGGAGCGAAUCUAUAAAACCGGUCACAGUUCGGAUCGGAGUCUGCAACUCG